AUGCUCAAGCUGCUCUGAGUCACAGAGCGGGCUGAGGCGCUGCCGGCAGAUUCGCCGCCGGCUCCUCCGCUCCUGGAACCGCUCCCCCGUACCGUGCCGCCCACCUAUCCGCACACCUCCGCCUCAGAUACCAAGCCCGAAUUUUCUCCGGGGCGCAAGCGGCUGGGGGACCGGCGGGGAGCGAUCGGCAGAUUCGCCGCGCGGGGCCCGGCGUGCCGUUGGAGGGAAAAGGCGGGGAAGCGCCGCGCCGCCCCGCAGCGGCCUCCAGGGCCCCGCAGCGCCGCCCCCGCACGGCCGGGCCUGCGCGGCUCCUCUCGGCGCUCGCGCUGAGGCCCCGCGGUCCCGCUACCCCGGAGAGCUCAUCCGUAGCCCCGCUCCCACAGAGCACCGCCCGGCUGUGCGGCUUAAGGCCGCGCGGUUAGAGCAGGGAGCGGCCUUUGUCAUUAUAAAUUUCUACGUGGAUCCACAGAUUGCUGUCAUCAACAUAUUAAAUAUAUAACUAAAUGCCUUUCUGAGACCCGUGACCACAAAUUUAAAGAGUUAAGCAACGAGAAACACGUGGAACAAGCAAAGUAGGUAUGGUUUGACCAGAACCACAGAGAACAAUGUCAAAGCAGGCACUGCAGGAAGGAGAAAUCAAAGGUCAUUUUCAAAACAGGAGGAACAGAAAUCAUGUAUGACAUAAGAAAAUCAGAAAAGAUCUUCCUUUGGCUUUUCGUUGUUUCUGAGAGGCAUUUAGGGAAAAUUCAGAGGUCCAGAUACUAAAAAGGCACUGGUACGUAUCCAAGCAAUGUACAGAAAGUAUGAGAUGCUUUCCUGUAAGAUGCACGGCAUGCUGGCAGGCCAUGGAAACCACAGCUGUGCAGUUCCUGCUCAGUUCCAAGCUGUUGUGGCUGCAGCAGUUGGUCCUGGGCAGAGACUUGGACUGCGAGCCUCAGCCCCUUCACCUGUAUGGGCAGCUCUAACUCGUGGCCUUUGCUCAAAUAUAGCA